rnacentral:rRNA from 1 species
ACUCCUACGGGAGGCAGCAGUGGGGAAUAUUGCACAAUGGGCGCAAGCCUGAUGCAGCCAUGCCGCGUGUAUGAAGAAGGCCUUCGGGUUGUAAAGUACUUUCAGCAGUGAGGAAGGUGGAUAUGUUAAUAGCAUAUUCAUUUGACGUUAGCUGCGAGAAGACGAACGCUANCCGCAGCGCGGUAAUACGGAGGGUGCGAGCGUUAAUCGGAAUUACUGGGCGUAAAGCGCAUGCAGGUGGUUUGUUAAGUCAGAUGUGAAAGCCCGGGGCUCAACCUCGGAAUUGCAUUUGAAACUGGCAAACUAGAGUACUGUAGAGGGGGGUAGAAUUUCAGGUGUAGCGGUGAAAUGCGUAGAGAUCUGAAGGAAUACCGGUGGCGAAGGCGGCCCCCUGGACAGAUACUGACACUCAGAUGCGAAAGCGUGGGGAGCAAAUAGGAUUAGAUACCCUGGUAGGAUAGCGU